UGGCGGGGAGUGGCAAACUGCUCAGUAACACGUAGCUAACCUGCCCUCGGGACGGGAAUAACCCCGGGAAACUGGGGCUAAUACCCGAUAGGCGUGGAUUCCUGGAAUGGUUUCACGUCUAAAUGUAACCGCAUCCAUGUUUGCGGGCACGCCCGAGGAUGGGGCUGCGGCCGAUCAGGCAGUUGGUGGGGUAACGGCCCACCAAACCUUUGACCGGUACGGGCCAUGAGAGUGGUAGCCCGGAGAUGGGCACUGAGACAAGGGCCCAGGCCCUACGGGGCGCAGCAGGCGCGAAACCUCCACAAUUCACGAAAGUGAGAUGGGGUUACCUCGAGUGCCGCCUGAAGAAGGCGGCUUUUCCACGGUGUAAUGAGCCGUGGGAAUAAGGGGGGGGCAAGACUGGUGUCAGCCGCCGCGGUAACACCAGCCCCCCGAGUGGUGGGGAUGAUUAUUUGGCCUAAAGCGUCCGUAGCCGGCCCGGUAAAUCUCUCGUUAAAUCCAGCGUCUCAAGCGUUGGGCUGCGAGGAACACUGCCGGACUAGAGGGUGGGAGAGGUCAGCGGUAUUUCUGGGGUAGGGGCGAAAUCCAUUGAUCCCAGGAGGACCACCAGUGGCGAAGGCUGCUGACUAGAACACGCCUGACGGUGAGGGACGAAAGCUGGGGUAGCGAAUCGGAUUAGAUACCCGAGUAGUCCCAGCCGUAAACGAUGCAGGCUAGGUGUUGGAUUGGCCACGCGCCAGCUCAGUGCCACAGGGAAGCCAUUAAGCCUGCCGCCUGGGGAGUACGGCGCAAGGCUGAAACUUAAAGGAAUUGGCGGGGGAGCACCACAGCGUGAAGCCUGCGGUUUAAUU
rnacentral:rRNA from 1 species